rnacentral:tRNA from 1 species
AGUAAGGUGCCUGAAUAAAGGCCCACUUUGAUAGAGUGGUUAAUGUAGUAUUAUCUACCCUUAUUA